rnacentral:lncRNA from 1 species
CCAUGACCACAGCGACUAAGAGGCCCAGACUCACUCACUCCCUCUUGGAGCCGCCCCGAAAGCCUGCCUGCCACAAGAGUUCCUGUCCUUGCGAGAGGCGGAGCAGCUUUGUGGCUGAUCUCCCAUCUGGUUGACAGGAAUGACAGCUCAGAGUUGUGCUCCUGGAGGGGAAAGUGCUGAGGGCAGAGAAGAGGAAAGAAACUGCAGCUAGGGGUUGCCCACGCGGUCGUGGCAGGCUCUAACAGGCUGCAGAGAUGAGGGAAGCAGGCAGGAAGCUCAGAAGAAAGCCAAUCGAUGACCCUUAGAAGGAGGAUGGCUGCUUUUAGACUCACCACUUCCAACUUACAACCCAAGAUAGUAUGUUCACUGAAGAAGCAAAGAUACUGCAUUUGACCAACUAGGCACCCAGGAAGUGAAUGAAUAGUCAUGCAAGUAAAACAUCAAAGACUUGAAAAAUUCUUCUAGGGGUUUUCUGUUCAGAGGUCCAAUCUUUAGGAUGUAAAAAUUAAGUAAAUAAGAAAAUUAUGUUUAAAUCUUUUAAAAUAUUUUGUAAAUUCCCAUUAAAGAUACUGUAUCUAGGGGAGUAUAUAUCAUAUCUUGCCAUCUAUGUGAAAUAAUGGGAUGGAAAGCCAUAUGUGUUUGCUUAUAUAUGAUGGACUGUUUCUGGAAUGAUUCAGAAGAAAUUGGUAACUGGGUGACACCAGGAAGAAGAACUUAGUGUGAAUCGGGAAUCAGAGGAAACUAUUUCACUGGGUGCUCUUUGGCCCUUUUGAAUUUUGAACUACAAAUGUAUUGAUUAGCUCUUCACAGUAAAAAUAAAGAAAAUUAAAACUUCAAGUAGAGAUUGUAUCUUGUGAAAAUCAAUGUACUUUCUGUUCAUUUC